rnacentral:rRNA from 1 species
GACGGAGGAUGCAAGCGUUAUCCGGAAUGAUUGGGCGUAAAGCGUCCGCAGGUGGCAGUUCAAGUCUGCUGUCAAAGACUGGGGCUUAACCCUGGAAAGGCGGUGGAAACUGAAGCGCUAGAGUGCGGUAGGGGUAGAGGGAAUUCCCGGUGUAGCGGUGAAAUGCGUAGAGAUCGGGAAGAACAUCGGUGGCGAAAGCGCUCUACUGGACCAUAACUGACACUCAGGGACGAAAGCUAGGGGAGCGAAUGGG